rnacentral:rRNA from 1 species
UACGUAGGGUCCAAGCGUUGUUCGGAAUUACUGGGCGUAAAGCGCGCGUAGGCGGGUUUGUAUGUCGAUUGUGAAAUCCCCGGGCUCAACCUGGGAACUGCAGUCGAAACUGCAAAUCUUGAAUGUCUGAGAGGAUGGCGGAAUUCCCGGUGUAGUAGUGAAAUACGUAGAUAUCAGGAGGAACACCGGAGGCGAAGGCGGCUAUCUGGCCGAAUACUGACGUUGAGACACGAAAGCGUGGGGAGCAAACAGG